AUCAGAGCACAGGGAGAGAUUUGACAUCAGAGCACAGGGAGAGAGUUGACAUCAGAGCACAGGGAGAGAGUUGACAUCAGAGCACAGGGAGAGAGUUGACAUCAGAGCACAGGGAGAGAGUUGACAUCAGAGCACAGGGAGAGAGUUGACAUCAGAGCACAGGGAGAGAGUUGACAUCAGAGCACAGGGAGAGAGUUGACAUCAGAGCACAGGGAGAGAGUUGACAUCAGAGCACAGGGAGAGAGUUGACAUCAGAGCACAGGGAGAGAGUUGACAUCAGACAAGGCUGAAGGAAGAAUCAGAGGUGAUCUCUACACAGACGGGACUCUAGUGGGUCACACAGGCCCAACUAUGUAGGAGAGAAGGCGUGUGGGCUAUCGCACACACAGAGAGGAGCUGGAUAAAGGGAAAAAAGUGGACAAGAUCCCUGUCUCGGAAAAGCUCAGAGAGUCAAUGAGGUAAGGUAAUGUUAACCUUGAAUACAACAGAAAAUAACCUACAGUACCAGUCAAAAGUUUGGACACACCUACUCAUUCAAGGGUUAUUCUUUAUUUUUACUAUUGUCUACAUUGAAGAAUAUAGUAAAGACAUCAAAACUAUGAAAUAACACAUGGAAUCAUGUAAUAACCAAAAAAGUGUUAAACAAACCAAAAUAUUUUUUCGAUUUUAGAUUCUUAAAAGUAGCCACCCUCUGCUUUGAUGACAGCUUGGAACACUCUUGGCAUUCAUUCAACCAGCUUCACCUGGAAUGCUUUUCCAACAGUCUUGAAUGAGUUCCCACAUAUGCUGAGCACCUUUUCCGUCACUGCGUCCAACUCAUCCUAAACCAUCUCAAUUGGGUUGAGGUUGGGUGAUUGUGGAGGCCAGGUCAUCUGAUGCAGCACUCCAUCACUCCAUCACAGCCUAGAGGUGUGUUUUGGGUCAUUGUUCUGUUGAAAAACAAAUGAUAGUCCCACUAAGCACAAACCAGAUGGGAUGGCGUAUCGCUGCAGAAUGCUGUGGCAUCCAUGCUGGCUAAGUGUGCCUUGAAUUCUAAAUAAAUCACUGACAGUGUCAUCAGCAAAGCACCAUCCACACCUCCUCCUCCAUGCUUCACGGUGGGAACUACACAUGUAGAGAUAAUCCGUUCAGCUACUCUGCGUCUCACAAAGACACGACGGUUGGAACCAAAAAUCUCACAUUUUAACUCAUCAUACCAAAGGACAGAUUUCCACCGGUCAAAUGUCCAUUGCUCGUGUUUCUUGGCCCAAGCAAGUCUCUUCUUGUUAUUGGUGUCCUUUAGUAGUUAUGUCUUUGCAGCAAUUUGACCAUGAAGGCCUGAUUCACGUAGUCUCCUCUGAACAGUAGAUGUUGAGACAUGUGUUACUUGAACUCUGUGAAGCAUUCAUUUGGGCUGCAAUGUCUGAGGCUGGUAACUCUAAUGAACUUAUCCUCUGUAGCAGAGGUAACUUUGGGUCUUCCUUUCCUGUGGCGGUCCUCAUGAGAGCCAGUUUCAAUCAUAGAGCUUUUAGGUUCUAGAGAACCUUUUUUGUAGACCAUUCACUUCAAACUAACUACUUCAUAAAUGAUAAAACCCUACAUGUAGCCUCUCUCUCUUAGGUACAUAUGCAGUGAUGAGUGAUGAUAGCCGGCGUGACGGAUCGCUUGGCUCCAGAUUCUAACUUCAUGAUGUGGGACAACGCCACCAAUGAGAGUAUGGUGGAUGUUUUUGCUCGAGUCGCGGAGCGGGAGAAAGUGGCAGCUGCCGUGACUUUCACAGCCUCUUCGUCCUCUUCCGGGUAAUUGUAACCGAGCGUCAACUGACUGCCACAAGACUGUGUUUGCCUGCGGAGCUAAAGCCUCGGCAUUAACUCUGUCAGCCAAGUCUUUAGGUCUCGGGCAAGGUUACUCAUCACUACUCAUCUCUGAACUACAGUACCUCUGUUAAAUUAGCAGUGACUGUAUGACAGCUUCCCCCGUGUGUUGGUGUGUGUGUGGAGCUGGUUCAGCUUGUGUGUGUAGAUGCUCCUGGGGCUGGUUCAGUUCGGCUAUGUGGUGACCUACCUGUCUUAGCCCGUGGUCAGAGGGUACACCAUCGGAGGAGCCAUCCACUUCAUCGUCUCUCAGCUCAAGUACACAUUUGGUAUCCGUUUGAAACGCUACAGCGAGCCCUUCUCACUGAUCUGUGUACAACAGACACACAUAGGAAGACACACAUUGUGACCUUGGGUUCUAUCUGACAUUUUGGUCCGAAGUUAGUUGAUCUUGAGGUGGUCCUUUACAUGUGUCAUAUGGCAGAUGCUUGGAAAAGUACCUUUACGAUGAAGAAAAUGACAAAUCUGAACGUUUCGCCUGCGCAGAGAGAUAGAUGCCUUUUAAACUUGGUGCUAUAAAGUUCUAUCUGCAAUCCAAUCACACAAUGCUGGGUUGUCAAUCAAAAACAAUUGUAAGGUGAUAUCCUUAUUGAGUCAUGAAAGAGGAAGACAUCACUUAACUGUUCUGAGACUUGAAAAAUACUCAGUAUCUCAAAGCUAUACAUUUUGUACGUAGAACCUUAUAGGCCCAAGCCCUUAAUUAUUCAUAUCAUAGGUUUCUGGUCCUGUUUUUAAACCACUUUUUCAGAAGAAUGGCCAUAAUGUAAGCUCUUUAUGGUUCAAACAAAUAAAUACAGGUGCCUUAGAGCAUGUUUAAGGCCCUUCGGAGAGGCAUUGCUUCACUUGUCUUGUUCUAUAUCAAUACGAAAAACAUUUUCACAAAAAUGACAAAUUUACCACAUUGUAUUGACAACUAGCAAGUAGUUUACUGACUUUGUGUGUCAGAGACCAGAAAAAAUAUCAGUUUCUCAUCCAGAGCUAAGCUAGUCAUGCGUAGGAUAUACCGUAUUUGUCAUUUUAGGGAAUUAUCGAUUUGACAAACGUGGGGAUGAACGUGAAUUAAUACAUUUGGUGAUGUGAUUCAAAAGAAGGAAGGGUAUUCUCUUUAUUAUAAUCAUUAAAUGUCUGUACUUUUAUAUUGAAAUUGAAAUCACUGUAACAUUCUGUAGCAGGUAGGACCUUUUGGCUGAACCCAGAUUGACAUUUAAGGUUCUACCUUCAAUUGCACCCCUGUGGUUAUGAAAGAAGAACUCAUUACCAAACAAUUCUGAUAUCUGGGAUGUGAAAAAUGGAAUGCUCAAAAUAUCUCAGAACUAUGCUUUUCUUUACGCAGAUAGAACCUUAUUGUCCCAAGGUUGAGACACACUGAUGUUGUGUCCUCUAUGGGGGAAGGAAAUACACCCCCCAACAUAGGUACCCUGGUGGUGAGCCUGGUGUCAAUCGUUGGCCUCAUCAUCGUCAAGGAACUCAACACCUAGCUGGGGGGAAAAUAACUGUCAGUACCCAUUCCCUGUAGAGCUGCUGGUCGGUGGCCAGUGCUCUUUCAGCCAUGGUGAUUCCAGUCAUCAUGCUGUAGAUUGGGGCUGUCUUUGAGGAGCUGCCAAAGGAAGUGUUGGCACCCAUUGUCUAUGUGAACCUGCGUGGCAUGAUGAAACAGUUCAUGGAUAUGCUGGUGUGGAUGGCCACUCUGAUCCUGACCGUGCUCUUCAAACCUGGCCUAUGCCUGGCAGCCUCCAUUGCCUUCUCGAUGCUCACGGUCAUAUUCAGGACCCAGCUGUGAGCACACAAUCACUCACAUUCACCAACGUAUUCCCAACCACUAUAAACCACAGCCCACAUUAACUCCACUCUAUCCCUGACAGACUCCACCUCACCACGAACCUCCAACACUACU